UACACGACCGUACCGCAAACCGACACUGGUGCGCGAGAUGAGUAUUCUAAGGCGCUUGAGAGAACUCAGGAGAAGGAACUCGGCAAAUUGACACCGUAACUUCGGAAGAAGGUGUGCCUUUAGUAGGUGAACCUGUACAAGGGGAGCCCAAUGAGGUUGCAAAAAAUCGGUGGCUGCGACUGUUUAAUAAAAACACAGCACUCUGCAAACACGAAAGUGGACGUAUAGGGUGUGACGCCUGCCCGGUGCUGGAAGAUUAAAUGAUGGGGUGCAAGCUCUUGAUUGAAGUCCCAGUAAACGGCGGCCGUAACAAUAACGGUCCUAAGGUAGCGAAAUUCCUUGUCGGGUAAGUUCCGACCUGCACGAAUGGCGUAACGAUGGCCACACUGUCUCCUCCUGAGACUCAGCGAAGUUGAAAUGUUUGUGAUGAUGCAAUCUCCCCGCGGAAAGACGGAAAGACCCCAUGAACCUUUACUGUAGCUUUGUAUUGGACUUUGAACAGAUCUGUGUAGGAUAGGUGGGAGGCUUUGAAGUGUGGUCGCUAGAUCGCAUGGAGCCAACGUUGAAAUACCACCCUGGUGUGUUUGAGGUUCUAACCUAGGCCCGUAAUCCGGGUCGGGGACAGUGCAUGGUAGGCAGUUUGACUGGGGCGGUCUCCUCCCAAAGCGUAACGGAGGAGUUCGAAGGUACGCUAGGUACGGUCGGACAUCGUGCUAAUAGUGCAAUGGCAUAAGCGUGCUUAACUGCGAGACUGACAAGUCGAGCAGAUGCGAAAGCAGGACAUAGUGAUCCGGUGGUUCUGUAUGGAAGGGCCAUCGCUCAACGGAUAAAAGGUACUCUGGGGAUAACAGGCUGAUACCGCCCAAGAGUUCAUAUCGACGGCGGUGUUUGGCACCUCGAUGUCGGCUCAUCUCAUCCUGGGGCUGUAGCCGGUCCCAAGGGUAUGGCUGUUCGCCAUUUAAAGAGGUACGUGAGCUGGGUUUAAAACGUCGUGAGACAGUUUGGUCCCUAUCUUCCGUGGGCGCUGCAGAUUUGAGGAAGCCUGCUCCUAGUACGAGAGGACCGGAGUGGACACACCUCUGGUGUAUCGGUUGUCACGCCAGUGGCAUUGCCGAGUAGCUAUGUGUGGAAGAGAUAACCGCUGAAAGCAUCUAAGCGGGAAACUCGUUUCAAGAUGAGAUCUGCCGGGGCCUUGAGCCCCCUAAAGAGUCGUUCAAGACCAGGACGUUGAUAGGUCGGGUGUGGAAGCGCAGUAAUGCGUUAAGCUAACCGAUACUAAUUGCCCGUGCGGCUUGACCA
rnacentral:rRNA from 1 species